AGAAUCAACGCUGGCGGCGUGCCUAACACAUGCAAGUCGAACGAGAAAGUGGAGCAAUCCAUGAGUAAAGUGGCGCACGGGUGAGUAACACGUGACUAACCUACCCUUGAGUGGGGAAUAACUUCGGGAAACCGAGGCUAAUACCGCAUAACACCUACGGGUCAAAGGAGAAAUUCGCUUAAGGAGGGGGUCGCGGCAGAUUAGUUAGUUGGCGGGGUAAUGGCCCACCAAGACGGUGAUCUGUAUCCGGCCUGAGAGGGCGCACGGACACACUGGAACUGAAACACGGUCCAGACUCCUACGGGAGGCAGCAGUGGGGAAUUUUGCGCAAUGGGGAAACCCUGACGCAGCAACGCCGCGUGGAGGAUGAAGUCCCUUGGGACGUAAACUCCUUUCGAUCGGGACAUUAUGACGGUACCGGAAGAAGAAGCCCGGCUAACUUCGCGCAGCAGCCGC
rnacentral:rRNA from 1 species